rfam:Desulfotomaculum nigrificans CO-1-SRB chromosome, complete genome.
UCCGUCGUUAGGUGGAAUCUGAAGGAAGUCGGCGGCAAACCUCCGGCCCGAGGACCACGAACCCCAGGUGAGGCCAGCAGCAGUUGGAUGAGCUUGCUUAACAAAGCGAAGUCCCUGCUACCGAAGGCUGCUGAGAUUAAAUGGGGCGGGUAGAUGGAGGGAAAGAUAAUGUU